AGCGCGGAGCUACGGCGCCCUGAGUUGAUGAUGGAGUGCUCCGAGAUGCGCGAGACGAGACCGCUCGAGGAGGAUCCAGCGGCCGCGCUCGAACUUCUCCCAGAGCUUUCGUCAUCAGCUGUAAGUUCUGCGCCGAAAGUUUACAUCACGGUUCCUGGUUUCCUGGCUUGGGAUCCCCAAAGAGAAGAUAGAUCAACAGGGGAUUCAGUUCUGCCCAGUAAAUAAACGGAUGCUCUCUAUUGAAAGCAAAGUCAAAGGUUUAAGGUUCAUUUUGAGGAUCCAUCCAGACUCCAUGUGCUCCAGAAGUGGCAAGACGUUGCAAAUGAAGAAUCUCUAGCCUGAAUCCUCAUGUUGUUUCCUCCAACCAUCCAGGAGUUUGUUAAUUUGAGUUUGCAAAAUGAUUAAUCUACCACAAGAGAGUAUGUUGUGCUCAGGAGAGUUUAUGUAAGAAAGUUUGACUGCAUUUAUUCAGGAGUGUUAAAAAUGAAACAAUUUAGCACAACGUUGAAAUGUUAUUGCAAGAAUGAAAAUGCUUGCAUACCUGUGAAUGAGGUUCAUUAUUAGUUUGGACAUGCAGAAGUGUUACAGUAAUUUAAAGCUCUAAUUGUAACUGAAAUGAGUGGGAAUGUAGUUAAUUAUGAUACAAUGAUAUAACUGAUGAUUUGACUUCAUUUUGAAGAUCCAUUGCCCAAUAAAAGUUA